rnacentral:rRNA from 1 species
AACGAACGCUGGCGGCAUGCCUAACACAUGCAAGUCGAACGAGACCUUCGGGUCUAGUGGCGCACGGGUGCGUAACGCGUGGGAACCUGCCCUUAGGUUCGGAAUAACUCCCCGAAAGGGGUGCUAAUACCGGAUAAUGUCUUCGGACCAAAGAUUUAUCGACUUUGGAUGGGCCCGCGUUGGAUUAGCCAGUUGGUAGGGUAAAAGCCUACCAAGGCGACGAUCCAUAGCUGGUCUGAGAGGAUGAUCAGCCACACUGGGACUGGGACACGGCCCAGACUCCUACGGGAGGCAGCAGUGGGGAAUAUUGGACAAUGGGCGAAAGCCUGAUCCAGCAAUGCCGCGUGAGUGAUGAAGGCGUUAGGGUUGUAAAGCUCUUUUACCCGGGAUGAUAAUGACAGUACCGGGAGAAUAAGCUCCGGCUAACUCCGUG